rnacentral:misc_RNA from 1 species
GAUGAAGAACGUAGCGAAAUGCGAUAAGUAAUGUGAAUUGCAGAAUUCAGUGAAUCAUCGAAUCUUUGAACGCACAUUGCGCCCGCCAGCAUUCUGGCGGGCAUGCCUGUUCGAGCGUCAUUUCAACCCUCGACCUCCCCUUGGGGAAGUCGGCGUUGGGGACCGGCAGCACACCGCCGGCCCUGAAAUGGAGUGGCGGCCCGUCUGCGGCGACCUCUGCGUAGUAAUACAGCUCGCACCGGAACCCCGACGCGGCCACGCCGUAAAACACCCAACUUCUGAACGUUGACCUCGAAUCAGGUAGGACUACCCGCUGAACUUAAGCAUAUCAAUAAGCGGAGGA